GGCCGAUGCACACCAAAUAAAAAUCUAAGUUUGAAAUUAACCAAAUUCAAGUAGUAAAUGGUGCAUAUGGUUUUACAAAUACGGAGUAGUAUUUUUCCAAAAUAAUUGUUGAGGGCCACUUUUCUUAAAACAGAGCACAACCAAUUCGUUCAUCGAUCAAAAAAGUUGGGGAAAGAUGGGAACAAGGAGCAACUUGUACAAGAAUCCUUCCUUUGUCUACAACAAAUCCUUCAAUCUUAACUCCGUUCUUCAGAAUCUCAAUGCUUACAAUGUCGUCACCGGCAAUGUUUCCACGGCUCCUUCCACCGUCAAGCCGGAUUCCGACAAUAAUGAUAUCGGACACCAUAAACGCCGAAGGAUGGAGAGACGACAACCUCUACGGAACAAUGAAAUUGAGGUGAAAGUGAAUGAUAAGCCUAUGUCUCACCAGGACUACAUUGAAGAAAGAAGGAAGGAAGUUGCUUCAAGUCGUCCUUAUGAAGAAUUGAGUGCGGAUGUAUUGGAAACAUCGACUUCAGUUAUGCAGUUGGUAGAGUAUGAAAGUUCAACUUCAAGUAGUUCAUCAGAAUGUGAAAACAAGCACUGUCGUACCAACUCUAGCAUGCUAGCUGAAAAUCAGAGUUCCCAGCCACUUGGUUUCUUUCUUAAUUCUUGUAGUACAAAUGAAGAUGAUAGAGUUAAGACCUGGAGUGAGCAGCGGUCCCCUCUUCCUGGAGAGCCUGUUUGUGUGGUGUGUGGGAAGUAUGGGGAGUACAUUUGCAAUGAGACUGAAGAUGACAUAUGCAGCAUUGAUUGCAAAUCUGAGCUUCUUGAAAACCUUAAGCCGCAACAGGGGCCCUUAAAUGCUCAAUCCCCAGUAGAGCCCUUUGGCAAUAAAUGCUACUCAGAAGUUCCUGAAUCUGGAGGGGACAUCUGGGAUUAUGAGAAUCAUCGGUGGUCCAAGAAGAGAUCUGGUCUUUGUGCUUAUGAAUGUUGGAAAUGUCAAAGGCCUGGGCAUCUUCCUGAUGAUUGUUUGGUUAUGGCAUCUGCAAAUCAAUCUCAUCCAUCUGGUCAAUCAGGUGAAACGAGAAACCAGGUUGCAGUGUUUCCAAGUAAAUCCUGUUCUAUAUCCAGAGAUCUUCUCGAAUUAUAUAAAAGAUGCCGUGAAAUUAGAAAAAAAUCACUUUCAGCACAAUGCGAUUCUUGCCGUAGGUCUACAUCUUUGGCCACAUGUCUUAGAUGUAGUAAUACCUUUUGUGACAGUGCAGGUCAUUUGAGCAAGCAUAUCAGCACGCACCCCUCUCAUCAACAGUACUAUUCCUAUAAGCUCAAUCGUUUGACAGGUGAAAUGCUGUAAGUCAACAUGCAAAGUGACUGAUAUCCAGGAUCUUUUGGCUUGCCACCAUUGUUUGAAUAAAGCAUUUGACAAGUACUAUGAUAUGUACACUGCGACCUGGAAGGGUGCAGGAUUUUCAAUUAUAUGGGGUUCUAUUUGCUGUGAAGACCAUUUUGAAUGGCACAGGAUAAAUUGCUUAAAUGCUGGCGUCGAAGAUAGUGCAUACAUCAUUAAGAAACACUCCCCAAAUGACAACUGUGCCUUGAGUGACUUCAUCUUUUGAAGAUGUAAUGACAAGCAGCUGCCGGGCUCUUGGGUUGGGGAUUCAACCUUUUGGGGAAAAAGGAAAGAAUGAAUGGACUUCUAGUUUGAGGGCUACAUUCCGAGGAAGCCACCGGAUCCGACAUGCAUUGUAUGCACCGAGAUUUGAAUUUUGAAGUCUAAUUGGUGAUGGAAUAUCCUUUUGUAUGCGACUGGAGAGUAUGAUAUCCUCUUUGUUUGCUGAUGAUAUUAUUGCAAGGAAAUAUUUUUAUUUGCACACUAAAGUUUAUACACAAGUGUUUUUACAA